CCUGAUGGCUCAGAUGGUAAAGAAUCUGCCUGCAAUGCAGGAGACCUGGGUUCAAUUCCGAGGUCAGGA
rnacentral:tRNA from 1 species